UGCAAUUGUAAACGUGUAGGUGA
rnacentral:siRNA from 1 species